AAGGCUGGCAAUCAUACAUGUUCUGAGGACAUACACAUCAGCCCCCUCUGCAUGUGAACAGAUUGCCUGUACAUGUGUAGGUUCUCUCGCAGCUCAUUCCCUGCUUGAGUCAGCUCAGAUCGCCCUGUCCUUGCCUGUGACCUUGGAUAUAUCAAGAGAUGUUGCAUUAAGGAGGAGUUAAUGAAGAUUAAUAUGUCCCCAGGGGAGGAGAGCCACUUAAAGGAAUGCACAGUUACUCGGUCUAUGUGCUGAGAAGGCUGAUAGUCUUCGAAGAAAGUAGAUGCUCAAAACCUAUUCUCAGCCAUACGGCAGAACCCUGGGCAGACUGCAAAAAGACUCCCAAUACUCUAUUCCCAUGAACCCAGGAAGGAGCUGACAUUAUCAACUGAGAUAUCAGAAAAAUAUUC
rnacentral:lncRNA from 1 species